rnacentral:rRNA from 1 species
CCUACGGGCGGCCGCAGUGGGGAAUAUUGCACAAUGGGGGAAACCCUGAUGCAGCGACGCCGCGUGAGCGAGGAAGUAUUUCGGUAUGUAAAGCUCUAUCAGCAGGGACGAAAAAAGACGCUACCUGACUAAGAAGCCCCGGCUAACUACGUGCCAGCAGCCGCGGUAAUACGUAGGGGGCAAGCGUUAUCCGGAUUUACUGGGGGUAAAGGGAGCGUGUAGGGCAAUGCAAGCCAGAAGUGAAAGGCCAGGGCUCAACCGUGUACCUGCUUUUGGAACUGUGGUGCUAGAGUGCAGGAGAGGUGAGUGGAAUUCCCAGUGUAGCGGUGAAAUGCGUAGAUAUUAGGAGGAACACCAGCGGCGAAGGCGGCUUACUGGACUGUAAAUGACGUUGAGGCUCGAAAGCGUGGGGAGCAAACAGGAGUAGAUACCCCGGUAGUC